UGAGGAAUAUUGGUCAAUGGGCGGAAGCCUGAACCAGCCAAGUCGCGUGAAGGAAGAAGGAUCUAUGGUUUGUAAACUUCUUUUGAAGGGGGAUAAAGUGCGUCACGAGUGAUGCAUUGCAGGUACCCUUUGAAUAAGCAUCGGCUAACUCCGUGCCAGCAGCCGCGGUAAUACGGAGGAUGCGAGCGUGAUCCGGAUUUAUUGGGUUUAAAGGGUGCGUAGGUGGCUUUUUAAGUCAGCGGUGAAAACUGGCGGCUCAACCGCAAGAGUGCCGUUGAAACUGGGGAGCUAGAGAAUGAACGAGGUAGGCGGAAUGUGUGGUGUAGCGGUGAAAUGCAUAGAUAUCACGAAGAACUCCGAUAGCGAAGGCAGCUUACCAGGCCAUAACAGACACUGAAGCACGAAAGCGUGGGGAUCGAACA
rnacentral:rRNA from 1 species